ensembl:lncRNA
CCCAAAUAUUUGAGGAGGAAGAAGAAGUGCAGACGCUUUAUUCGUGUAACCAAAUACUAACUAAAGAAGCAGAAACUGCUGGACGCCCAUUGGUGCAGGUGUUCUUACUGUACACGUCUUUAGAAAAGCUGCAGAGAGAGGGAACAGCCAUGAGUCUGCUGUGAUAAUGGAUCGCAGCAGGGCAGACAGGAGCAGAACUCGAAGAUGUGGUAACUACAACAACGUAGUGGAGCCCGAGUACGACGUGGUGGACGACCAAGAGGAAGUGCACAAUGUGCGCAUAUUUCCUGCCAGGCCCAUAAAUGAUGAGAGAGAGUACGCAGACAGGGAUCUUCCAAGGUCAUCAUCUGCACAGAGCCUUUCAUCACCCUCCACUGUUAAUUCCGAGAUCCUACCUAGACGUCCACCCAGAGAAACCCCACAUACCUCAGGACCUGCUGUCAAUAGAGACCUGAAGCCAGGCAGACGAAAGACCAGAUUCGAUAAGAAGUUGCCACCUGUGCUGCCAGACCAGCACUCACACAGGUGCCCUCCAUCACCUCCAUCCUUUACCCUGGAGCUGAUCAAUCACUGGUCUGGACUGGCUCUGAAUAAACCCUGCAGGAGAGAGUGAGUGCUGU